rnacentral:rRNA from 1 species
GUCCACGCUGUAAACGAUGGGCACUAGGUGUCCGGGGUAUUGACCCCCUGGGUGCCGCAGCUAACGCAUUAAGUGCCCCGCCUGGGGAGUACGGUCGCAAGAUUAAAACUCAAAGGAAUUGACGGGGGCCCGCACAAGCUGUGGAGCAUGUGGUUCAAUUCGACGCAACGCGAAGAACCUUACCUGGACUAGACAACAGUGGACCAUCCUAGAAAUAGGAUUUUCCCUUCGGGGACCGCUGGUUCAGGUGCUGCAUGGCUGUCGU